UACAGAGGGUGCAAGCGUUGUUCGGAAUUAUUGGGCGUAAAGCGCGUGUAGGCGGCUUUGCAAGUCGGGGUGUGAAAGCCCUCAGCUCAACUGAGGAAGUGCACCCGAAACUGGCGAGCUUGAGUACGAAAAGAGGAUCGCGGAAUUCCCGGUGUAGAGGUGAAAUCCGUAGAUAUCGGGAGGAACACCGGUGGCGAAGGCGGUUCUCUGGGCCUGUACUGACGCUGAGGAGCGAAAGCGUGGGGAGCGAACAGG
rnacentral:rRNA from 1 species